UACGUAGGGUGCAAGCGUUGUCCGGAAUUAUUGGGCGUAAAGGGCGCGUAGGCGGCCUUCUAAGUCGAACGUGAAAUCCCUGGGCUCAACCCAGGAACUGCGUCCGAUACUGGAAGGCUUGAAUCCGGGAGAGGGAUGCGGAAUUCCAGGUGUAGCGGUGAAAUGCGUAGAUAUCGGGAGGAACACCAGUGGCGAAGGCGGGCACCUGGGCUAACACUGACGCUGAUGCGCGAAAGCUAGGGGAGCAAACAGG
rnacentral:rRNA from 1 species